AGUGAACGCUGGCGGUAGGCCUAACACAUGCAAGUCGAACGGCAGCACAGUAAGAGCUUGCUCUUACGGGUGGCGAGUGGCGGACGGGUGAGGAAUACAUCGGAAUCUACUUUUUCGUGGGGGAUAACGUAGGGAAACUUACGCUAAUACCGCAUACGACCUACGGGUGAAAGCAGGGGAUCUUCGGACCUUGCGCGAUUGAAUGAGCCGAUGUCGGAUUAGCUAGUUGGCGGGGUAAAGGCCCACCAAGGCGACGAUCCGUAGCUGGUCUGAGAGGAUGAUCAGCAACACUGGAACUGAGACACGGUCCAGACUCCUACGGGAGGCAGCAGUGGGGAAUAUUGGACAAUGGGCGGAAGCCUGAUCAAGCCAUACCGCGUGGGUGAAGAAGGCCUUCGGGUUGUAAAGCCCUUUUGUUGGGAAAGAAAAGCAGCAGGUUAAUACCCCGCUGUUCUGACGGUACCCAAAGAAUAAGCACCGGCUAACUUCGUG
rnacentral:rRNA from 1 species